UUACACAGCUACACAGCCAUCCAGUACGUAGCAUAAUCAACGACAGAGUACCCAACUGUACUACACUAGGCAAAGACUUGCUGAUGCAAAAUUACCAUCCAUUUUUCUUACUACAAAAUGAACUUCCAAUUCACUAGGUAGUGCCCUUUUUCUCUCUGCGUUUCUCAUAAACAACAAAAUGAACUUCAAAUGAACAUAGAUGUUCUCUUCUUUUUCUUAUUGGGCGCACUUCUUCUUGAGUAAACUGCACAUUGACGCAAACAAAACAUCAACUAAGCACAAAGCGAACCUCUUCUUUGAGUAAACUGCACGGCCAGGGGGGACUGCAAAAAAAAGCAACGAACUAUGGCGGCGAGCACUGAAAUGAACUCGCCGGUGCCACUGGACUGCACGUCUGACCACGAGCCUCGUGCCACCGGAAUGCAAGCACGCUCGCCGGUGGACUGGACAUCCAGCCGCACCGCAGUGAUGCACAAAGCGAACUGAAGUGUUUGUGCCCAAGUGAAAUCUGGAAAGGCAAAAAAAUUGAAGGGGACGAGAGGAAGCCGGAGGCCGGUGCUUGCAGUGCGGAGAAGGUACGAUACGGCGGCCGGAUCUAGUAGGAGGUUGUCGGGGCUCCCGGAAACAGCAGGUCGCCGGAGUAGGAGGCAGGGGCAGCUGGAGGCACAUUGCUACACAUGUACCAGGCGGCGGUGGAGCUUCCCUAUCGCCAGAUCCAGAGCAGCCGGUGGAUCCGGCGGGGCGGGACGACAUGGAUCCCAAUGGAACUCGACCUGACUGCUGCGGCCGCUCGGGAUCCCUCGCCAGAGAAGGAAAAGGAAGGAGGCAGCGCCGUGGCUACGGGACAUGGCAGAGCGCGAGGUGGUGGGUCACGGCUGCAUCCGUCGGCUUUGCGGUUGCACCGGUGGCCAUGGCGGCCGGAUCCGGUGGUGGAGGCCUCGCCGGUGGCCGGUGGCGG
rnacentral:lncRNA from 1 species